rnacentral:rRNA from 1 species
UACAGAGGUGGCAAGCGUUGUUCGGAAUUACUGGGCGUAAAGGGCGCGUAGGCGGUUCGUUAAGUCCUGUGUGAAAUCCCCCGGCUCAACUGGGGAACUGCACAGGAAACUAGCGGGCUUGAGUUCGGGAGAGGGAAGCGGAAUUCCGGGUGUAGCGGUGAAAUGCGUAGAUAUCAAGUGGAACACCAGUGGCGAAGGCGAGUCCCUGGACAACUCCUGACACUGAGGCACGAAAGCUAGGGGAGCAAACAGG